rnacentral:rRNA from 1 species
UGGGAAUAUUGGACAAUGGGCGCAAGCCUGAUCCAGCCAUGCCGCGUGAGUGAUGAAGGCCUUAGGGUUGUAAAGCUCUUUCGCCGGUGAAGAUAAUGACGGUAACCGGAGAAGAAGCCCCGGCUAACUUCGUGCCAGCAGCCGCGGUAAUACGAAGGGGGCUAGCGUUGCUCGGAAUCACUGGGCGUAAAGCGCACGUAGGCGGAUCGUUAAGUCAGGGGUGAAAUCCUGGAGCUCAACUCCAGAACUGCCCUUGAUACUGGCGAUCUCGAGUUCGAGAGAGGUUGGUGGAACUCCGAGUGUAGAGGUGAAAUUCGUAGAUAUUCGGAAGAACACCAGUGGCGAAGGCGGCCAAACUGGCUCGAUACUGACGCUGAGGUGCGAAAGCGUGGGGAGCAAAACAGGAUUAGAUACCCUGGUAGUCCACGCCGUAAAACGAUGGAUGCUAGCCGUUGGGGGGUUUGCCUCUCAGUGGCGCAGCUAACGCCUUAAGCAUCCCGCCUGGGGAGUACGGUCGCAAGAUUAAAACUCAAAUGAAUUGACGGGGUCAUAGCUGUUUCCU